AUGGUCCAAGCUAAUGACCGAAUCUUGGGAAAAGUAUGCAUCACAAGACGAUACUCCUAUAUUGCAGCUGGGGACUUGUGGUGGAACUGGAAUAAGAGAGAAGUUGCUCUGUCUCAUAUCCAUCUGCCAUUUCUGACCAACAUGAUUAAGCUUGCAGUCCUCAUCCGAGGAACUGCACUGCUCCUUUGUCUAUUGAUAUUCCAAGCAGCAUCCGCUUCCCAUGGUCAAGCGACUGCAUCAGGAGCCUGCAUCGGCGGCGAGCGAGAUGCGCUUCUGUCCUUCAAGGCAAGCCUCUUGGACCCUGAUGGUCGCCUGUCAUCAUGGCAGGGCGACGACUGCUGUCGAUGGAAGGGAGUCCGUUGCAGCAACAGAACUGGCCAUAUCAUCAAGGUCAGCCUCCGCAGCAUCGACAUGUAUGGCUACGUGAGCAGUUUAUUCAGCUUGUCGGCAGGGGAGAUGAACUUUUCUUUGGCUACUUUACAACACCUGAGGUAUCUUGAUCUGAGCUGGAAUUACUUCAACGGCACAAGCAACCCUGUGUUCUUGGCUUCUCUCAAGAACCUAAGGUAUCUCAAACUCUCGUAUGGAUUCACUGAAAGAAUACCUUCCCAACUUGGCAAUCUCUCAAAGUUGCAAUAUCUAGAUGUCAGUGGGAAUUCUUUUCAUUCGGAUAGUUACUCAGUGAAUCUUGCAUGGUUGCCACGUCUUUCUUCUUUGGUCCAUCUCGACAUGAGCGGUGUUGAUCUUAGUUCUGCCGAGGAUUGGCUUGAGACGGUGAACAUGCUUCCUUCUCUUAAAGUGCUUCGCUUGAGCUUCUGUGAACUCAAUCUUCCCGUAUCUGCUAGCAUGUCACAUUCCAACCUCACACAUGUCGAGAUACUUGAUUUGUCUUAUAACAAAUUCUAUACUAAUUCACUCAAGCACGCAUGGUUUUGGAAUCUCAUAAGCCUCAAGGAACUUUACCUCCAAGAUUCCGGCUUGGAAGGGGCCAUUCCUAGUAACUUGGCAAACAUGACGUCCCUUCAAGUCAUAGACUUCAGUGGGAACAACCUUGUGGGUCUGAUACCAAACAAAUUAGAUAAUCUGUGCAAUUUGACAAUAAUGAGGUUUAGCGGUAUCAACACUGGUUCGAGCAUAGGGGAGUUCAUGGAGCGAUUGCCAAAGUGUGCAUGGCAUACAUUGCAAGAAUUGUCAGUGCAGGGUGCAAAUAUGACCGAGAAUCUACCCAUUUGGAUUGGGAACUUGACAGGUCUCGCCGUUCUUCAAGCAUCUCAAAACAUGUUAACUGGCCCUCUACCUGUAGGAGUUGGAGCACUCCGUAAUUUAAAAAUGUUGGACCUCAGUUAUAAUAAAUUUAGCAGUGUGCUCACAGAGGAGCAUUUUGCGGGCCUACUGAAUUUAGAGUAUCUGGACUUGUCAUACAACUCUUUGAGAUUAGCUAUCAAACACAAAUGGGUUCCUCCAUUUAGAUUGAAGGUUGCAGGUUUCGGUUCAUGCCAACUGGGCCCCAGUUUUCCAGAGUGGCUUAGAUGGCAAUCUGACAUUGAUGUUCUUGUUCUCAGUAAUGCAAAUCUAGAUGAUGUUAUUCCUGAUUGGUUUUGGGUGACAUUUUCCCGAGCUUCAUUCUUGCAAGCAUCAGGAAAAAAAUUGCAUGGCUCAUUACCGGGAGAUCUACAACACAUGUCAGCUGACCACAUAUAUCUUGGGUCCAAUAAGUUUACGGGCCAAGUACCACAUUUACCUAUAAAUAUAUCAAGACUAAACCUAUCUUCAAACUAUUUCACUGGGUCAUUGCCAUCAGAGCUGAAUGCCCCACUACUCGGAGAGUUGUUGCUUGCAAAUAAUCAACUUACAGGCACCAUCCCGUCAUCUAUAUGCCAAUUGACUAAACUGAAUAGGUUGGACCUAUCAGGAAACCAUUUAACAGGAGAUAUUAUGCAGUGUUGGAAGGAAUCUGAUGCAAACUCUAUGAAUCAAUUUGGUUUUGACAUGCUAAGCUUAGCCCUGAAUAACAACGGUCUCACUGGUGAAUUCCCUAAAUUUCUUCAAAGGUCGUCAAGGUUAAUGUUCCUUGAUCUUUCUUACAAUUGGUUAUUUGGAGGAUUGCCUGAAUGGUUGCCAGAAAAAAUGCCACAUCUGAAAAUAUUAAGACUGCGAUCAAAUAUGUUCAGCGGCCAUAUUCCUAAGAAUCUCACUUCCCUGGACAGUCUUCAUUAUUUGGACAUAGCACACAACAAGAUAACAGGAAGCAUACCAUGGUCUUUGUCAAACCUGAAGGCAAUGAUGACAGUGGUGUCGCAGGACACGGAGUAUUACAAUUUUGAAGAUAGCAUCCCAGUAUACACAAAGGACCAAAAGCGUAACUAUACCUUUGUAAUCUACAAAUUGCUAGUGAUUCUUGAUUUGUCAAGUAAUAUUUUGACAGGACAUGUUCCGGAGGAGACAACUCUACUCAUUGGGCUUAACAAUCUGAACUUGUCAAAUAAUCAACUCACAGGAGCAAUCCCAAACCAAAUUGGUGAUUUAAGGCAGUUGGACUCACUCGACCUAUCCUUCAAUGAGUUUUCUGGUGCAAUACCAUCAAGUUUGUCAGCUUUAACUUAUUUGAGCCACUUGAACUUGUCAUACAACAAUCUGUCCGGUGCAAUACCACCCGGACAACAGCUACAAACUCUUGGCAACCAGAUGUACAUCUACAUCGGUAACCCUGGUCUUUGUGGAGAUCCGGUUGGCAGGAACUGCUCAACACAUCAUGCAGAGCAAAGUGGCCUUGAAGAUCUAGAGCAUAUGCCAUCUGUCUAUCUUGCCAUGAGCAUUGGAUUUGUGGUGGGUCUGUGGACAGUUUUCUGCACCAUGUUGAUGAAGAGAACAUGGAGGGCUGCCUUCUUCCAGUUUGUUGAUAUGAUGUAUGACAUGGUUUAUGUGCAAGUGGCUGUAAGGUGGGCUCACAUGAUGGAGAAAACUCAAGACGGUGCACCAUGA
rnacentral:rRNA from 1 species